AGAAAUCUGACUGCUUUGCUGAAAAACACACCUGCUUUUUUUGUGCCGUACUCCCAUUCCACCAUCUAUCGAGCACGUUCAAUACACAUGUCCAACACUCAUAGUCACACUUUAUCAAUCACUCAUUCGCACAUACAUACACACACACACACACACACACACACACACUCACCUGCUCAUUCACACAUUCAAAACUCAAAGGCACUUUUAAGGGCCAUUCUCUCUCUGUCUUUCUCUUUCGCUCACUCACCUUUAGCCUCUUGCUCUUUCUGUCUCCCUCACAUAAUGAGCAAAGCACAUAUGACCUGUGCGGUGGCUGGCUGCACUGCGGCUCAUGUGUCCAUGCACACCCUUCCACGGGACACAGCUUUGCGCCAGGAGUGGGUCAACUUUAUUUUUUCCAAUAAAGUACCAGAAUAUGUCAGCCAACACCUGCGUCUCUGCACUGCCCAUUUCUCGCCGUACUGCAUCGAGAAUCAAGCCAGGUACAACGCUGGAUUUGCUUCAAAGUUGGUCCUGAGACCAGGAGCUGUUCCUACCGUGUUGAACCCAGAUUCAGAUGUUAAACCGAAGCUGCCCACGUUCACUCGUGAGGUGGGUUGCCAGACUGAUCCCCCGAAAAAUGAAAAGAGAACGGUUUGCACACAGCUUGGAACAUACACUCUGCUGCACAAGCAUGUCAAAAGUCGAGCUACACAGGUCAGUGUUGCCACCACAAGCAUUGGUGUUGGGAGCGAUGCGAUUUCUCCCCUGGUCCUACCCAUCCUGACCUCAACACCAGAAGAACAUGACACAGCAGACUGUUCUCCCUCAAAACGGGCCCGUUGAUGACUCGGAAGAUGGCGACUAUGCCUACAAUCCUUUAAAUGCAAGAUGGGACUACUUGACAUUGGGUUGUGACAUAUUCGCACUUAGUCUUAGUUCAGAGAAAGCUUUUGUUUUUUUACCAUUUUACCUUGCCUAAUAACUGGAGUGGAUGGAUUAACGUCUUCAUCAACACGUGCUUAGGGGUCAUUUUCCUCAGUCAAACUCAAGCAUCAGUUCAUGUGACACCCAAAUGUAUAGUCUUUGAGGACUGUCUCGUGACAUUAUUUGAGAUGUGCCUGAUAUUCCGCAUGAGGUGCCAGGUCCAGAAGAUUGUGCGGGGGACCUUCUUGUCUAUUGACCAGAGUUGCCUACACUGCCUCAACAAUAGAAAGUGGAUGAGCCAGCCGCUUCCUGGAAGCACCCCUGCAAUCUAAAGCUGUCUGCAGCCAUCUUCUUCUCAGGAUCAUCUUUCAUUCAAACAAAGAAGGCAUUACUUGGCCGGGAUGCAUUUCAAUGAGAACGUCGACCAGAGCCAGACGAUAAGCUCCACAGGACAACUGGCCUACAUGAUAAAGUACCCAAAGUCAAGGGACAAUGCUUCAUUCAAGUCCUCAGAACCAGGCCAACAUGCAACUAUUGGGACGCACUGAUGACGCUUCUAUUCAUUGAGGUAUUCCAAAAUCCUGGGCCCUACACAGCCAGGAUGAACCAGAUGCCAGUUCCAGAGAACCUGAAUGCACAGUAUGAAAGACCAGUUAAGGCUGACUCUAUAGCUAUACUGUAACAGUGGUUGGAGAAAAAUCUAAUGCAUAGAAAAUCAGUUGCCUUUUUUUUUUUUUUUUCUCUUCCAGCCAAUCCAUGUUAGACAGUAGUUGUUGUACCCUCUUGUGUUAUUUUUUUUUAACUUUACGGCAGUACAAUUUCAUUGUGACACAGCUACAGUUGUCUGCCAGUGCUUGGCUCACUGUGCAGUACAGCCUCAAUGUGAUACAGCAAGAGUUGUAAACUGAAGCAACAAAACUGUGCCAAACCGUGUUGCUCGUUUUUUAUUUUUAACUACACUGUUCCUGAUUGACUGUUCACAGGGAGGAACUAUUAGUAGCACCUUGUUACUGUAACACUUUGUAUUGUAGCACUGUCCUGUCUCUAACCAACCUAAGUCAGCCCACGUGACCCCACUGCUUGUUGGGCUGCACUGGCUCCCCUUUGCUGCUUGGAUCCGCUUUAAGCCACUAGACUUGGCGUUCCAUGCUGCAAGGGGAACGGCGCCAUCCUACCUCCAGAUUAUGGUGUCCAACUGUACCCCUUCACGCUCUGCCUCCUUGGGGCACCUGGGGGAAGCUCACCCUCUGCAGGCUAUUCUCUGUACUGACCCCAUGGUGGUGGAACGAAAUUCCCGCCGCUGUCAGGACUGCUGAUACCACCCACUCACCUAUUCAAACAGCAUCUUCUAUAAAUUUAUGAAAAAUAAAAUACUUUCUCCCAACAGGUUUCUCACUUAUCUAUGCUGUCAAGGCACCCACUUGACUGUAGCACAUAUGUAAAUAAUGUCUAAGAUUGACUAGAGUUCAUAUCACUUGGCUUGUUUUGAUGCACCUACUUGGAAGUCGCUUUUAAAAGUGUCUGCUAAAUCACGCUAAGGGCUAUUUUCUCACUACUGUGCUUUGACUUGCCAUGUAAUGUGAAUUUAAAUGUGAACUUACUUGAAAUAAAGAAUGUUAUUUAUUAA